rnacentral:rRNA from 1 species
UACGUAGGGAGCGAGCGUUAUCCGGAUUUAUUGGGCGUAAAGCGUGUGUAGGCGGUUUAUUAAGUUUGGGAUUAAAACCUGGGGCUCAACCCCAGUUCGUUCCAAAUACUGGUUAACUUGAGUAUAGUAGAGGCAAGUGGAAUUUCUAGUGUAGCGGUUAAAUGUGUAGAUAUUAGAAGGAACAUCGGUGGCGAAGGCGACUUGCUGGGCUAUUACUGACGCUGAGGCACGAAAGCGUGGGGAGCAAAUAGG